CUUCAGGUCCUUUAUCUGGUUCUCUCAUGAAGUACGUUAUUUUACCUUCCUUAAUUAUAUUUAUACUUGUCUGACAUCACUUACAAUUAUGUAAGCAAGGUAGGUAAAAAAAAUCCUUCCACAGAACGUUGACUGCAGGACUGUUUCUGUACAAUAGCGUGUGCAGGCAGCAACUUUCUUGCUGGAGAGUUGACUUCAUACAGUCUCCUCAGGAAUUGGUAGGGACCUGUUCCCUUAGCUGUUACUUCCACUCUUUUUCACUUGAGUCAUUGCUAUCAGCUUUGAGUACCAGGUUCUUUUGUUUUUUUUGGUUCUCUUCUUUCAAUGUUUAUCUUUCUCUUCAUCUUGUAGGUCUUCAAAUUUUUAACCAGCUCUUCUAUGGUCAGCUCCUGCAGGUCCUUUGAUUCAGUAAUAACAUUCACCUUGCUUCCCAAUGGCUGGAUCCCAACCUGGAACUUUGUGAUCUCAAGGUCUUGUAAAUGUGUAAUAGGUUCCUUAUCUGGUUAUGGAUGGUAAGUUUGUUAGAUCAUCAAAAUACAAAUUAAAGUACUUAUGCCCAAGGUACUUGUAACCUAUCAAUUUCCCCCUUUUUAAUGAUGACAAACUUAGAAUUGAUAUUCCCCCUGAGAACCAGAUCUCCACAUUGUUCCCCCUACGAAUCAUAAAAUAUUUCCCAUUAGAACCAAAC
rnacentral:lncRNA from 1 species